rnacentral:rRNA from 1 species
AUUGAACGCUGGCGGAAUGCUUUACACAUGCAAGUCGAACGGCAGCACGGGAGCUUGCUCCUGGUGGCGAGUGGCGAACGGGUGAGUAAUGCGUCGGAACGUACCGAGUAAUGGGGGAUAACGCAGCGAAAGCUGUGCUAAUACCGCAUACGCCCUGAGGGGGAAAGUGGGGGGAUCGCAAGACCUCACGUUAUUCGAGCGGCCGACGUCUGAUUAGCUAGUUGGUGGGGUAAAGGCCUACCAAGGCGACGAUCAGUAGCGGGUCUGAGAGGAUGAUCCGCCACACUGGAACUGAGACACGGUCCAGACUCCUACGGGAGGCAGCAGUGGGGAAUUUUGGACAAUGGGGGCAACCCUGAUCCAGCCAUUCCGCGUGAGUGAAGAAGGCCUUCGGUUGG